GUGUAACCUAACCUCACGUUUUCUAAAUGUUUUCCACCAAUUAAGAUUUGACUGGCACUUUAUUUGCUAUGUCAUCUUGUUGUGCCCCUCAUUCUACAGUGGUUUAAUGUCACCUGACUGGAGCAUUAGCGUCACUAAUGCUUAUCUUCAUGAACCAACCAAUCCACUAAACGUUGAUGAAAACACGGCUAAAUUCUCAUUUUGUUUUGCAGGUUUUCAUAAAAUUUUGUUACAUUUUGCACCACUUUUGGAUGGAAACCUGGCACCAGUUUUCACCUUCAGUUCAAGUUUUCCCCCCUCUGCUGUUUCCUUCACCUCCUUUUUUCCCCUCAGCCCUCACACCUGUGUUUCUCCUUCACCAGGAAACAGAAGCUUAACAUCAGCGCAGCAGAGUGAGAAGUCAGGCCUUAAGAGGUUCGCCAAACCACUAUAGGCUUAUCCCUGAGGUCAUCAGCGAUGUCAAUAGCCUCAGUAGAUAGAAAUCUUUCAUUAACCUUUCAUUUCAUUGCAACCUCCACAAAUAUUCAACAGAAUACAAAACUGUAGCUUUCAAUUUGUCUUUCAGCAGGAAGAGGAAAUUGGAACAAUAUAAUGAAGCAGUGUUAUGCCAUUUAAGCUGUCUUGGUGUUUGAGGGAUUCUGAAUAAAAGUUUUGAGCCAGCA